UGCUGAUCUGUGGUUCAUCUCCUCUUUCCUGGUGUUUGGAUUUCUUUUCGGUGGCUGAUAGUUCAGCUAUAUAAAAAACAACUAUAAAACACUGCAGACAUCAGAGCUGAUGGUUUCCAUAUGGGAGGUGUUUUUGUGAGAAGCAUCAUCAGCAGAGACUGGAGGGUUCACAUGUUCACAUCUCUGCAGGACAGUGUCACUUCCUCCUUCUGCUUCGGUUCGUGUAUCCCUGCAGACAGGAGCACACGUUGUUCCUGAUGCACAGACCGCCGUUCUUACAGGGAGGACUGCAAACGGCUGAAACCGUGAGGACACUCGCAGGUGUUUGGCCGAACACACACACCUCCGUUGAAACACACGGGAGAGCAGAGAGCUGCAGAGAGAGACGAGGGCAUCAGCAUUAAGAGAAAACCUGGUUUCACCAAAUGACCACCACCAAUUGGUUGUUUGGAUGACAAAUUGUUUUUUGUCUGAUCUUUUGGAAAAUACAUCAGGAGUGUUUGCAGUUUUGGGGAACUAUUUAACUGGUACAAAUCUCAACAGCAACACAUGGUGAGUGAGCAGCCCCGCCGGACACUCGCACCUGUACCCGAUGGCCGUGUUGACGCACUUGCCGACCGUGCACGGCGCUGACAGACAUUCGUCCACGUCCUCGCCGCAGAGGGCGCCCUGCUUCCCCUCAGGACAUACACACAGAUCUACCUGCACAGUGAAGGUGCUCUGGGCAUUGCACUCGUCCGACAGCGCGAAUCGAAAGGAGCGCCUCGAUUGACGUCCCUCCUCCUCAGGAAACAUUGGGACCCUCCAGAUAAGGAGGCCAGCAGGAGAGAGGGCGGCCCCAUUCGGCCCCUCCUCCAGCUGGAAGAGGAGUGCUGAGCCCUCGGGGUCCGAUGCAGCAAACUGGAAGACGAAGUUCUCCCCGGCAAAUGUCCGCAGGUCGCCUUGAGGCUGGUGGAAGGCCGGCGGCUCGUUGACUGAAGAGAGAGGAGGAAAAACUUCAGAAAGAGGCUUAAUGGUUAAGCGACAGGUCAGGGCAUGCUGGGAAACUUAAACCUCCGCUCCUUUGAUCUGCUAAUGCGGACAAACAGGACCACAGUUGGACGGAUACCAAGACCAGGUGAAUUUGGAGGUGUCCGGGUUACAGAGGAGGCAGGGGCUGCUGGGGCUGGAGUCUCCCUCUGCGAAACACAUCCCGUCGAUGUUACACGUCCUCUCCUGGCCCCCAGACACAGAGUGGAAAGAAAAGUCUGACCUGGGUCGUGGACGCUCACAGCCAGAGGAACUCCACACUGAUGGCCGUGGUCCAGGCCGUAGCAGGGGAUGGGCACCGUGCUGUGGACCGUCACCUCGUGCUCUUUACUGUUCUCUGCUAUGAGGAGCGAGUCUGCAGAAAACUGAAAAGAGAGAGAGUAUAGAGAACCAGUGAAUAUGACACACGCUGCCUCUCCGCCUUCUCUUUGUAAGGCUGAACCCAGCCGUAAAGAGGUCAGCAUGAUCCAUGGCUUACUUUGCCCACUCGAGGGGUCAAACUCGCCACAUGUGCUCCCCAAAACUUUCAGCACCGUCUGGCAGGAAUUACCGUUUCUCCGAGCCUGAAGUGAACGCCAUCCAUCUCUACCAGAGAGAAGGGCUUCAGAGUGGAUUCUUGUCUGAUCUCAGCCUUCAUGCUGUGGCCGAUGUGUCUGGCCCAAACCACCUGGAAGCCCAGCGGCUGACUCCACGGCGGCGGGACGAAGGAGCACCUCAGGUGGACGCUGUUGCCGAUGAGCUCCGGGGUGAUCACCGGCCGGGAUGAUCUGCCAAAUUACUCAAGAGGAAAUGAAAACUGAAGAAUCUCUUUAUCUGUGACCCAGUCCUGCUGUUUGGUUGUGAGCAGGACGGGUCAGCGAGGACAGACGUGAUAAUGAUAGACGAAACAAAAGCAGCUCAUGUCGUCGUGGGAAACCGCACAAAAACCUGAAUGUCCUUGACUUGACUGAGAAAUGAUCUCUCUCACAGGACACUGGAGGUCCAUCUAACCUCUGGACCUGCUGAGUGACAGGAAUGCAGCCUCACAGGCCAAGUCUGCAGCUCUGCAGGAUCUGCUGCUCUUAACUGG